AAAUGCGAUAAGUAAUGUGAAUUGCAGAAUUCAGUGAAUCAUCGAAUCUUUGAACGCACUUUGCGCCCGCCAGUAUUCUGGCGGGCAUGCCUGUCCGAGCGUCAUUUCAACCAUCAAGCCCCCGGGCUUGUGUUGGGGACCUGCGGCUGCCCGCAGGCCCUGAAAACCAGUGGCGGGCUCGCUGUCACACCGAGCGUAGUAGCAAUCACCUCGCUCAGGGCGUGCUGCGGGUUCCGGCCGUUAAACAGCCUUACAAAACCCAAGGUUGACCUCGGAUCAGGUAGGAAGACCCGCUGAACUUAAGC
rnacentral:misc_RNA from 1 species